rnacentral:misc_RNA from 1 species
AAGUCGUAACAAGGUUUCCGUAGGUGAACCUGCGGAAGGAUCAUUAACACGUAUCCAAACGUCAAAACCCCCCCCGUGAACAUUGAUUCCUGCUCUUGUAACCCGCGAAGCUUGCAUCUCUGGUAAAUCAUAGCCCGGAAAGUAGUUUUGAUUCAGAGACCUCUGGCCCGUGCGAAAAUUGGAACAGUUACAAUUCGAGCGGUAGUUCUAUAGGACUUGUUUCCCCAUGCCCCCUUACAACCCCACAGUUAAAUGUGAAGCUCAAUGUAAUACAUUGGGUCAAAAACCGAACAACUGUUAACAAUGGAUAUCUUGGUUCUC